rnacentral:rRNA from 1 species
GUCUACAGCCAUGCCACCCUGAACAUGCCUGAUCUCGUCUGAUCUCGGAAGCUAAGCAGGGUUAGGCCUGGUUAGUAUUCGGAUGGGAGACCACCUAAGAUACCAGGUGCUGUAAGCG